rnacentral:rRNA from 1 species
UACGAAGGGGGCUAGCGUUGCUCGGAUUGACUGGGCGUAAAGGGCGCGUAGGCGGUUCGUACAGUCAGACGUGAAAUUCCUGGGCUCAACCUGGGGGCUGCGUUUGAUACGUGCGGACUUGAGUGCGGAAGAGGGUCGUGGAAUUCCCAGUGUAGAGGUGAAAUUCGUAGAUAUGGGGAGGAACACCGGUGGCGAAGGCGGCCAUCUGGACGGAUACUGACGCUGAGACGCGAAAGCGUGGGGGAGCAAACAGGG